GAUGAAGAACGUAGUGAAAUGCGAUAAGUAAUGUGAAUUGCAGAAUUCAGUGAAUCAUCGAAUCUUUGAACGCACAUUGCGCCCGCCAGUAUUCUGGCGGGCAUGCCUGUUCGAGCGUCAUUUCAACCAUCAAGCCCCCGGCUUGUGUUGGGGACCUGCGGCUGCCGCAGGCCCUGAAAAGCAGUGGCGGGCUCGCUGUCACACCGAGCGUAGUAGCAUACAUCUCGCUCUGGGCGUGCUGCGGGUUCCGGCCGUUAAACCACCUUCAUAACCCAAGGUUGACCUCGGAUCAGGUAGGAAGACCCGCUGAACUUAAGCUUAUCAAUAAGCGGAGGA
rnacentral:misc_RNA from 1 species